UACGUAGGGUGCAAGCGUUGCUCGGAAUCAUUGGGCGUAAAGCGCACGUAGGCGGUCUGACAAGUCGGGUGUGAAAGCCCUGGGCUCAACCCAGGAAGUGCACUCGAAACUGCCAGGCUUGAAUAUGGAAGAGGGUCGCGGAAUUCCAGGUGUAGCGGUGAAAUGCGUAGAUAUCUGGAGGAACACCGGUGGCGAAGGCGGCAUCCUGGACCGGCAUUGACGCUGAGGCGCGAAAGCCAGGGGAGCAAACAGG
rnacentral:rRNA from 1 species